rnacentral:rRNA from 1 species
CUACGGUGGGCAGCAGUGGGGAAUAUUGGACAAUGGGCGAAAGCCUGAUCCAGCCAUGCCGCGUGUGUGAAGAAGGCCUUCGGGUUGUAAAGCACUUUCAGUGGGGAAGAAAGCCUUGGGGCUAAUACCCUCGAGGAAGGACAUCACCCACAGAAGAAGCACCGGCUAACUCCGUGCCAGCAGCCGCGGUAAUACGGAGGGUGCGAGCGUUAAUCGGAAUUACUGGGCGUAAAGCGCGCGUAGGCGGUCUGAUAAGCCGGUUGUGAAAGCCCCGGGCUCAACCUGGGAACGGCAUCCGGAACUGUCAGGCUAGAGUGCAGGAGAGGAAGGUAGAAUUCCCGGUGUAGCGGGGAAAUGCGUAGAGAUCGGGAGGAAUACCAGUGGCGAAGGCGGCCUUCUGGACUGACACUGACGCUGAGGUGCGAAAGCGUGGGUAGCAAACAGGAUUAGAUACCCCUGUAGUC